rnacentral:rRNA from 1 species
UCGCCUGUUUAUCAAAAACAUGUCUUCUUGGGUUAAAAAUAUGAAGUCUGACCUGCCCACUGAAUAUGAAUUUUGAAGGGCCGCGGUAUUUUGACCGUGCAAAGGUAGCAUAAUCAUUAGUCUUUUAAUUGGAGGCUGGAAUGAAUGGUUGGACGAGGCACUGACUGUCUCAUUUUGAUUGAGGUUAAAAUUUAACAUUUGAGUGAAAAGGCUUAAAUGUUUUUAAAGGACGAGAAGACCCUAUAGAGCUUGAUAUUAAACUGUAUAUAAAUUAUUUAGAUGUUUAUGUUUUUUAUGGGGUUUAGUAUUUUAUUGGGGUGAUAGGAAGAUAAGAAAAACUCUUUUUAGUGAAGUUUGUACAUUGAUUUAUGAUUUAUUGAUCCGUUCAUAGCGAUUAUAAGACUAAGUUACCUUAGGGAUAACAGCGUAAUCUUUUUUGAGAGUUCUUAUCGACAAGAAGGGUUGCGACCUCGAUGUUGGAUUAAGGUAAAAUUUGGGUGUAGAUGUUCAAAUUUUUAGGUCUGUUCGACCUUUAAAUCCUUACAUGAUCUGAGUUCAAACCGGAGA